CUGGCCCUGAAUCAAGGCCUGCAAUUUGCUUAAGCUGUUGGUUUCCAGCAGGAGCCUAAAGAAAUGUCUUUCUAUGGUCUGUUGGCCAUUUCAGAACUUAGGAGAUGGAACUGUCAACUCAUUUCAAAGAAAUAGCA
ensembl:snoRNA small nucleolar RNA SNORA2/SNORA34 family